GUGUCAGCAGCCGCGGUAAUACGGAGGGGGCUAGCGUUGUUCGGAAUUACUGGGCGUAAAGCGUGUGUAGGUGGUUCGUUAAGUCGGAUGUGAAAGCCCCGGGCUCAACCUGGGAACUGCAUUCGAUACUGACGGACUAGAGUUUAGCAGAGGAAAGCGGAAUUCCGGGUGCAGCGGUGAAAUGCGUAGAUAUCCGGAGGAACACCAGUGGCGAAGGCGGCUUUCUGGGUUAAAACUGACACUGAGGCACGAAAGCGUGGGUAGCAAACAGGAUUAGAUACCCUGGUAGUCCACGCCCUAAACGAUGUCGACUGGCUGUCGGGUUCAUUUGGAACUUGGUAGCGAAGCUAACGCGUUAAGUCGACCGCCUGGGGAGUACGGCCGCAAGGUUGAAACUUAAAGGAAUUGACGGGG
rnacentral:rRNA from 1 species